rfam:Prevotella micans F0438 genomic scaffold supercont1.1, whole genome shotgun sequence.
GAGGGCAGUCUUAGAGCCCUUGGCACAUACGUGUUAAUAGUGUCAUGCUUUUGGCCGAGCAACAUGGUUAGUGAAUC